ACAGUUGCACAGGUAAUCUGUUUUGAUGCUAGAAUGAAUACAGGUUGAAUGUUAAAUGUCCUAUUCAUCCUACUUGAAGGCCUUGAAACAAAUUUUUUCUACUAACCUUCCCAAUUUGACUUCCUGUCACCCUAGAGGAACAAGUGUAUGAGCAGAGGGGUUUAACAACAGCUCAGACAAAUCAGCAACAAAUGAAAACAAACCGGAGAGGCAUCUCUAAUCGCAGCAGAACAGCUUUCACUUUAUAUCAGAGGGAGAGGUUAGAGAAAGAGUUCAUCCAUGGACUUUAUCCAGAGCUUCUGACCAGAGAAAAGCUGUCUGAGGAGACAAACCUUCCACAAAACACUGUAAAGGCAAUUCAGAUUUAAAACAUGAGCUAACAAAUGCUUUUGUUCCCUUCCAUCUGAAGGUUUGGUUCUCCAGUCGUAGACAGAGGGUGAGGAGGGAACAAAAUGAAGAACCAAAUGAGUGUGUAUCACUGAGUGUAACUAGGCUAGGGUUUCUGGGAAGUAGGAGUACUUUGAUUUAGUUGUCAGCAACAUCUGCCAGUUCAUUUGACGGUUACUUGGCUCAUCACACAAAAUCUGCUUUUCCAUUGGCCCAUCAUCACAGAGACAGAAACACUUUAGCAUUGGCUCAUUUGAACUCAAAUGCUGCUUCAACAUGUCCACUGGAUCUC